rnacentral:rRNA from 1 species
UGGGGAAUAUUGCACAAUGGGCGAAAGCCUGAUGCAGCAACGCCGCGUGAGCGAUGAAGGCCUUCGGGUCGUAAAGCUCUGUCCUCAAGGAAGAUAAUGACGGUACUUGAGGAGGAAGCCCCGGCUAACUACGUGCCAGCAGCCGCGGUAAUACGUAGGGGGCUAGCGUUAUCCGGAAUUACUGGGCGUAAAGGGUGCGUAGGUGGUUUCUUAAGUCAGAGGUGAAAGGCUACGGCUCAACUGUAGUAAGCCUUUGAAACUGGGAAACUUGAGUGCAGGAGAGGAGAGUGGAAUUCCUAGUGUAGCGGUGAAAUGCGUAGAUAUUAGGAGGAACACCAGUUGCGAAGGCGGCUCUCUGGACUGUAACUGACACUGAGGCACGAAAGCGUGGGGAGCAAACA